rnacentral:rRNA from 1 species
AACGAACGCUGGCGGCAUGCCUAACACAUGCAAGUCGAACGAGACCUUCGGGUCUAGUGGCGCACGUGUGCGUAACGCGUGGGAACCUGCCCUUAGGUUCGGAAUAACUCCCCGAGAGGGGUGCUAAUACCGGAUAAUGUCUUCGGACCAAAGAUUUAUCGCCUUUGGGUGGGCGCGCGUUGGAUUAGCUAGUUGGUAGGGUAAAAGCCUACCAAGGCGACGAUCCAUGGCUGGUCUGAGAGGAUGAUCAGCCACACUGGGACUGAGACCCGGCCCAGACUGCUACGCAAGGGAGCAGUGGGGUACAUUAGAGAAUGGGGGAAGGCGUGAUCCAGCAACGCCGCGGGAGUGAUGAAGGCCGUAGGGUUGUACAGCUCUUUUACCCGGGAUGAUAAUGACAGUACCGGGAGAAUAAGCUCCGGCUAACUACGUG